AUGGGGCAAAGAAGGAGGCGGCUCAGUGAGGCUUUUUGGAUUUGUGGCAAGGAAACAAGGAAGCACAACAGACAAUGUCAGCCACCUGUUUGCUGAGCUGGACCCAGAUCAGCCCGCCUCCGCCAUCGUCGGCUUCGUCUCUAAAAUGAUGAAGCGAUGAAACCCUUAACGUUCAAAUGGCAGUGGCUGUUUUGCAAUCUUCCCUCAUUGUUGGUGUCCUCUUUGCCAGGGCUGGAUGGAGUCCUUUCCUUCUGUUUUAUGUUGGGUUUUUGUUUUCCUUCUCUGUUUUUUCCUCUCUGCCUUGCUGGUUUGUUUUGAUCUAAUUGAAGUAGUCUCUGUUUGAAGGCUUUGGUGUGGAUCGAAACUGGAGCUAGAGGAUGUGUGAUGCGGAGCUAUGCAUGUGACAAACAUGGAAGCCAUUGGAGGGAGAAGAUUUAUCGACAGGGUAACCUGUGCUUGGAGAACUUAGCUAAAGACUAAAAGAAAAAUGCAAAGUCUAGUCAGGGAACAUAAAAGGAAGUGGAUGUUUCAGGGUUUUCUGUUGUUCUUGUCGAUUGAUUUACCAAAGGUAGCUGCAAUACAAGUGCGAGAAUGAUGUAGCUGUUAAGCCAUUAUUAUUUCCUCCUUUUAAAAGAUGAAACAUUGAAAAAAAAAGAAAUCUGUUUUCUUGAACUCAUCUUCAGGAGUAAAAAAAAAAAUGUUGGCCUUGAUGGCUUUUAGCAAAACUGUCUGAAGACAUUAUGCAUGUUAGCUUGAUCUUUAAGCUUGACUCUUCUACCUUCCACAAAAGUCAUUGUGAAAUCCUUAGAGUGGCCAGUUCCAGGUCUGUUAUGUGUCGGAAAGGGCUCUGCAGUGAAACGACUGAUCUAAACUGCACAUAACAGACCAGACUUAACAAAAAAAA